rnacentral:rRNA from 15 species
GGUUGACCUCGGAUCAGGUAGGGAUACCCGCUGAACUUAAGCAUAUCAAUAAGCGGAGGAAAAGAAACCAACAGGGAUU